UACGGGGGGAGCAAGCGUUGUUCGGAUUUACUGGGCGUAAAGGGCGCGUAGGCGGCCACCGCAAGUCAGUUGUGAAAUCUCUGGGCCUAACCCAGAACGGUCAGCUGAUACUGCGGGGCUAGAGUGCAGAAGGGGCAACUGGAAUUCUCGGUGUAGCGGUGAAAUGCGUAGAUAUCGAGAGGAACACCUGCGGCGAAGGCGGGUUGCUGGGCUGACACUGACGCUGACAGCGCGAAAGCUAGGGGAGCGAACGGG
rnacentral:rRNA from 1 species